GGGAGUGUAGCUCAGUGGAUAGAGCAGCGGUUUUCUAAACCGUUGGUCGUGGGUUCGAGUCCCACCUCUCCCGCCA
rnacentral:tRNA from 1 species